rnacentral:rRNA from 1 species
UACGUAGGGUGCAAGCGUUGUCCGGAAUUAUUGGGCGUAAAGAGCUCGUAGGCGGUUUGUUGCGUCGGCUGUGAAAUCCCGAGGCUCAACCUCGGGUCUGCAGUCGAUACGAGCAAACUAGAGUGUUGCAGGGGGAGACUGGAAUUCCUGGUGUAGCGGUGAAAUGCGCAGAUAUCAGGAGGAACACCGGUGGCGAAGGCGGGUCUCUGGGCAACAACUGACGCUGGAGGAGCGAAAGCGUGGGAGCGAACAGG